rnacentral:rRNA from 1 species
ACGCUCGACACCUACGGGAGGUAGCAGUCGGGAAUAUUGCGCAAUGGAGGAAACUCUGACGCAGUGACGCCGCGUAUAGGAAGAAGGUCUUCGGAUUGUAAACUAUUGUCGUUAGGGAAGAAAAAAGACAGUACCUAAGGAGGAAGCUCCGGCUAACUACGUGUCAGCAGCCGCGGUAUCUGAGCGGGCUGGCAAGGC